AUUGAACGCUGGCGGCAGGCCUAACACAUGCAAGUCGAACGAGUGGCGGACGGGUGAGUAAUGUAUGGGAAACUGCCUGAUGGAGGGGGAUAACUACUGGCAACGGUAGCUAAUACCGCAUAACAUAGGAUGUGCCCAGAUGGGAUUAGCUAGUAGGUGGGGUAAAGGCUAACCUAGGCGACGAUCCCUAGAUGGUCUGAGAGGAUUGCCAUCCACACUGGAACUUAGACACGGGCCAGACGCCUACGGGAGGCAGCAGUGGGGAAUAUUGCACAAUGGGCGCCAGCCUGAUGCAGCCAUGCCGCGUGUAUGACGAAGGCCUUCGGGUUGUAAAGUACUUUCAGCGGGGAGGCGGUACCUGAAGAAUAAGCACCGGCUAACUACGUGCCAGCAGCCGCGGUAAUAC
rnacentral:rRNA from 1 species